ACGGGUUGUGCUGCUCCAAGACAGCACAUUGAGGUAGGCCCCCUGGUGGGAGUAUCGUGGUGGCUGUGGUUGAUACCCAUAUCGCGGGUAGAGCCUUCGUGUUCGACGUUUGAGUUACGGUGCUAGUUGCGCAAAACUCGGGUGCUGUGACCCAGAGAUCAGUAGAGAUUUUAGGUAGAUCUCGCUCCUCAGCAAGGGGGAGUGCUUGCCCGGCAAGCAAGUACUCGAAUUGCUACCGGGGUGGUCGCUAUGUACAUAGCUAUAGCUUCCAGUCCGGGACGUUUGUCUGGCGUAUCCAGACUCAUGCACCAUGUUGAUACAUGCACCACUUGUGGGUGUUCAGGGUGUCGUGGUUGUAAUCCCUUCAGUGUGGAACACGCCACGUAAAACAAGUUCGGAGAGGUCCGAAAGUCACUGUCCCUAUCUACUAUCUAGCGAAACCACAGCCAAGGGAACGGGCUUGGAAUAAUUAGCGGGGAAAGAAGACGA
rnacentral:ncRNA from 1 species